CAGGCAGAGACAGAGAGAGAGAGAGAGAGAGAGAGAGAGAGAGAAGGGAAGAAGGGAGAGAGCAAGAGCAAGGGGGGAAAGCCACAGUGGUAGGCAGUCCCACUUUGAGCACUGUGAGGUCACAAACCACAUGAUUCUGUCUCUCCAGUAAUAGUGCUUGCAAAAAAAGGAGUUUUAAAGCUUUUGCUUUUUUGGAUUGUGUGAAUGCUUCAUUCGCCUCACAAACAACCACAGAACCACAAGUGCGGUGCAAACUUUCUCCAGGAGGACAGCAAGUCGUCUCUGGUGUUUAAAUGGUUAAUCUCCGCAGGUCACUACCAGCCACGGAGACCAACAGAGUCAGUGAGUGCUCUCUAACCACAGUCUAUGCAGUAAUAGUAGGUCCUUCAAAUAUUUGCUCAUUUUCUUUUUGUUUUGUUUCCUUGCUUUUCACAUGUUUCCAGCUACAUAAUUUCUUAACAGAAAAAAAUAAAUAUAAAGUCUACGUACUACAGGCAUACUGUAAAGCUAAAACAAGAUUUGGGUAUGGUUUGUAUUUUCAGUCUAAGGCUGCAAGCAGUAUUUACAACAGAGGGUACAAGUUCUAUCUGGAAAAAAAAAGAGGGACUAUGGCAUCAAACAGCCUCUUCAGCACAGUGACACCAUGUCAGCAAAACUUCUUUUGGGAUCAUGAUCAGAAAAAUCCUCCAAUGCCAUCUGUUUUACAAGCCCUUCAUGAUGUCACUUUCCUUCAGAAGCAGAGAUUUUUGAGAGAAGCAUUCCAUCAGACAGGCAGCACUUAUCACCUCUUGAAAAAUAUAGAGUAUAAUACAGCCCACACUAGCGACAGCUCCAGGUAAUGGGAGGACCUAAGUUAACAGGUAACUCUACAAAGGCAAAGUAAUGAAGAGUAAAAAAAGGGUAAGAUGUAACCAAGAUGGUUUAGGACACAGUGAAUGAGUGACUGAGUGACCAGACAUACACAGCAGAGGUGAGCAAAGGUGAAAAUGUAUGACAGAGGAGUUGUACUUCUUAAAAGAUUGCAGGAAAACCAAUGAGACUCGCAGAAGCUUCCUGAUAACCCCUGACUAAUCACACUGCCUCUUAUCUCUGUAAAUAGCACUUAAAAUAUAUUAAAUAUAUUCUCUAUAAACUAUAUUGUAUAAACACUGAUACACACAUAAUUAUAUUAGAAUGUAGGAUUUUUAUAGACUAAAAAAUGAAGCUGGUCUUUUAUUAACCACUAUAACCACCAUUCAAAAAUAAGAAUAAAUGAUUUAAAAUUAAGAGAGUAAGUUGGCUAAUUUUUACAUAGUGCCGACAGCACAAUUUUACAUUCAUGCAAGAAAAACAAAGAAAACAGGAGUUUUUUGGAGUCUCCAAUUAUAUACACUAGUUAACUAACCGACUCAUUAGUCAGCUGUUUUG
rnacentral:lncRNA from 1 species